rnacentral:rRNA from 1 species
CCUACGGGAGGCAGCAGUGGGGAAUUUUGGACAAUGGACGCAAGUCUGAUCCAGUCAUGCCGCGUGUGGGAAGAAGGCCUUCGGGUUGUAAACCACUUUUGUCAGGGAAGAAACGGCUCGGGUUAAUACCUUGGGCUAAUGACGGUACCUGAAGAAUAAGCACCGGCUAACUACGUGCCAGCAGCCGCGGUAAUACGUAGGGUGCAAGCGUUAAUCGGAAUUACUGGGCGUAAAGCGUGCGCAGGCGGUUAUGCAAGACAGAUGUGAAAUCCCCGGGCUCAACCUGGGAACUGCAUUUGUGACUGCAUGGCUAGAGUACGGUAGAGGGGGAUGGAAUUCCGCGUGUAGCAGUGAAAUGCGUAGAUAUGCGGAGGAACACCGAUGGCGAAGGCAAUCCCCUGGACCUGUACUGACGCUCAUGCACGAAAGCGUGGGGAGCAAACAGGAUUAGAUACCCUGGUAGUCCACGCCCUAAACGAUGUCAACUGGUUGUUGGGAGGGUUUCUUCUCAGUAACGUAGCUAACGCGUGAAGUUGACCGCCUGGGGAGUACGGCCGCAAGGUUGAAACUCAAAUGAAAUUGACGG